UACGUAGGGGGCGAGCGUUACCCGGAUUUAUUGGGCGUAAAGCGAGCGCAGGUGGUUUAUUAAGUCUGGUGUAAAAGGCAGUGGCUCAACCAUUGUAUGCAUUGGAAACUGUUAGACUUGAGUGCAGUAGAGGAGAGUGGAAUUCCAUGUGUAGCGGUGAAAUGCGUAGAGAUUUGGAGGAACACCAGUGGCGAAGGCGACUGUCUGGUCUGUAACUGACACUGAGGCUCGAAAGCGUGGGUAGCAAACAGG
rnacentral:rRNA from 1 species